rnacentral:rRNA from 1 species
AGUGAACGCUGGCGGUAGGCCUAACACAUGCAAGUCGAACGGUAGCACAGGAGAGCUUGCUCUCUGGGUGGCGAGUGGCGGACGGGUGAGGAAUACAUCGGAAUCUACUCUGUCGUGGGGGAUAACGUAGGGAAACUUACGCUAAUACCGCAUACGACCUACGGGUGAAAGCAGGGGAUCUUCGGACCUUGCGCGAUUGAAUGAGCCGAUGUCGGAUUAGCUAGUUGGCGGGGUAAAGGCCCACCAAGGCGACGAUCCGUAGCUGGUCUGAGUGGAUGGUCACACACACUGGAAGUGAGACAGUGUCCAGACUCCGACGGGAGGCAGCAGUGGGGAAUAUUGGACAAUGGGCGCAAGCCUGAUCCAGUCAUACCGCGUGGGUGAAGAAGGCCUUCGGGUUGUAAAGCCCUUUUGUUGGGAAAGAAAUCCAGCUGGCUAGUACCCGGUUGGGAUGACGGUACCCAAAGAAUAAGCACCGGCUAACUUCGUGCCAGCCGCCGCCGUAA